rnacentral:rRNA from 1 species
CUUCGGGGUUAGUGGCGGACGGGUGAGUAACACGUGGGAACGUGCCUUUAGGUUCGGAAUAGCUCCUGGAAACGGGUGGUAAUGCCGAAUGUGCCCUUCGGGGGAAAGAUUUAUCGCCUUUAGAGCGGCCCGCGUCUGAUUAGCUAGUUGGUGAGGUAAUGGCUCACCAAGGCGACGAUCAGUAGCUGGUCUGAGAGGAUGACCAGCCACAUUGGGACUGAGACACGGCCCAAACUCCUACGGGAGGCAGCAGUGGGGAAUCUUGCGCAAUGGGCGAAAGCCUGACGCAGCCAUGCCGCGUGGAUGAUGAAGGUCUUAGGAUUGUAAAAUCCUUUCACCGGUGAAGAUAAUGACUGUAGCCGGAGAAGAAGCCCCGGCUAACUUCGUGCCAGCAGCCGCGGUAAUACGAAGGGGGCUAGCGUUGCUCGGAAUUACUGGGCGUAAAGGGAGCGUAGGCGGACAUUUAAGUCAGGGGUGAAAUCCCGGAGCUCAACUUCGGAACUGCCUUUGAUACUGGGUGUCUUGAGUGUGAGAGAGGUAUGUGGAACUCCGAGUGUAGAGGUGAAAUUCGUAGAUAUUCGGAAGAACACCAGUGGCGAAGGCGACAUACUGGCUCAUUACUGACGCUGAGGCUCGAAAGCGUGGGGAGCAAACAGGAUUAGAUACCCUGGUAGUCCACGCCGUAAACGAUGAUUGCUAGUUGUCGGGGAGCUUGCUCUUCGGUGACGCAGCU